rnacentral:rRNA from 1 species
AGAGUUUGAUCCUGGCUCAGAUUGAACGCUGGCGGCAUGCCUUACACAUGCAAGUCGAACGGCAGCACGGGUGCUUGCACCUGGUGGCGAGUGGCGAACGGGUGAGUAAUACAUCGGAACGUACCUUAUCGUGGGGGAUAACGCAGCGAAAGCUGUGCUAAUACCGCAUACGCCCUGAGGGGGAAAGCGGGGGAUCGAAAGACCUCGCGCGAUUAGAGCGGCCGAUGCCUGAUUAGCUUGUUGGUGGGGUAAAAGCCCACCAAGGCGACGAUCAGUAGCUGGUCUGAGAGGACGAUCAGCCACACUGGGACUGAGACACGGCCCAGACUCCUACGGGAGGCAGCAGUGGGGAAUUUUGGACAAUGGGGGAAACCCUGAUCCAGCAAUGCCGCGUGAGUGAAGAAGGCCUUCGGGUUGUAAAGCUCUUUUGUCAGGGAAGAAACACCGGCUCUAACACAGUCCGGGAAUGACGGUACCUGAAGAAUAAGCACCGGCUAACUACGUGCCAGCAGCCGCGGUAAUACGUAGGGUGCGAGCGUUAAUCGGAAUUACUGGGCGUAAAGCGUGCGCAGGCGGUUAUACAAGACAGGCGUGAAAUCCCCGGGCUUAACCUGGGAAUGGCGCCUGUGACUGUAUAGCUAGAGUGUGUCAGAGGGGGGUAGAAUUCCACGUGUAGCAGUGAAAUGCGUAGAUAUGUGGAGGAAUACCAAUGGCGAAGGCAGCCCCCUGGGAUAACACUGACGCUCAUGCACGAAAGCGUGGGGAGCAAACAGGAUUAGAUACCCUGGUAGUCCACGCCCUAAACGAUGCUGACUAGUUGUUCGGGAUUUACAUCCUGAGUAACGUAGCUAACGCGUGAAGUCAGCCGCCUGGGGAGUACGGUCGCAAGAUUAAAACUCAAAGGAAUUGACGGGGACC